GACGAACGCUGGCGGCGUGCUUAACACAUGCAAGUCGAACGGAAAGGCCCUGCUUUUGUGGGGUGCUCGAGUGGCGAAGGGGUGAGUAAAACGUGAGUAACCUGCCCUUGUCUUUGGGAUAAAUUCAGGAAAAAGGGGAUAAUACAGGAUAGGAGCUCCUGCUGCAUGGUGGGGGUUGGAAAGAUUCGGCGGUUGGGGAUGGAAUCGCGGCUUAUCAGCUUGUUGGUGGGGUAGUGGCUUACCAAGGGUUUGACGGGUAGGCGGCCUGAGAGGGUGACCGGCCACAUUGGGACUGAGGGACGGCGCAGACUCCUACGGGAGGCAGCAGUGGGGAAUAUGGCACAAUGGGCGGAAGCCAGAUGCAGCAACGCCGCGUGCGGGAUGACGGCCUUCGGGUUGUAAACCGCUUUCGCAUGUGACGAAGCGAGAGUGACGGUACUGGGUAAAGAAGCACCGGCUAACUACGUG
rnacentral:rRNA from 1 species